GCGGGAUCUCGAGCAGCUUGUCCCAUUACAUCCACUGCCAAGAGCAGACAGGGCAUAAAUGCAUUUCUGCUCAUUUGUUUACUCAACCCUCCUCCUCUUACACUACUGAGACCCUCCAGCUUAAGGCAACGCUUAGCAUCCUCGGAGGAUCAGAAGGACAAGAACUGCAGGCUGUGGCAGGUCUGUCAAGGUGCUCCAUGGAGGUCAGAAGUGGAUGCUGGAUCCCUUGGAGCUGGAGUUACUGAUGGCUGUAAAUUGCCCAGUGUGAGUGCUGGGAACCUAUCCUGGGCCUUCUGCAAGAGCAGCAAGCACUCUUAAUCAACGAGCCCUCACACCAGCCCCAUAAAGAAAGUUUUAUUGGAAUUCAAACACUACUCACCUUUUUUUA